UUUGGUGUUGGAUGAUUUUCAGAGCGGUGAACCAAUGGUCUCUGAGGGGCCUCCCCUGCUGGUCCCAGGGUUAUGGGGCUCAGCUCUGUCGUCAGCCUACCUUGUGACCCAGAUUCAGCUGGGCUUUCCAGAUGGUCCUUUUCCAUCAGUCAUGACUUUGACUUCCACCAGUAACUGGUCUUCAUGUGGCUGCAUCCUGCUCCCAUUGGCGACUCUGCUGAGUGACCCACAUUAGCUGUGGUCAUUGGUUCAGUCCUCUCUGUGAUGUUCAGUGCAUGACCAGAUGUGAGAUAAACUGAAUAGAUUGGAUGCUAUGUCACUUAUUGUCAUAAUUCUGACUUUUCAACUGUUCUUGAUAUUACAGUGGACUAAAGAGGAUGGACAUAGAACUUCCACCUCUGCUGUCCCUAACCUGUUUGUUCCAUUGAACACUAACCCAAAAGAGGUCCAGGAGAUGAGGAACAAGAUCCGAGAGCAGAACUUACAGGACAUUAAGACGGCUGGCCCUCAGUCCCAGGUUUUGUGUGGUGUAGUGAUGGACAGGAGCCUCGUCCAGGUGAGAGCCCAGAGUGUCUCUGACAUUAGUGGGUGGUGGCUGUGUGACCGCCUGCUCCAAAGUUAUUCUGAAAUUGAGAGAGUGACUUUAUGAGGUAAGUAUUCUAGGCAACCAGUUACCUUUGUUAAAACCUUCAUGAUGAGAAACAGUUCAGGCACUUUUCCUUGAGUUCUAGAUGGAGCGAGCAUGCUGAGGGCUAUGUCCACCCCUCUGGUCCCGCCCCUUGUAAUGCAUGCAUAUGUGAGGGUGGCACAUACACCAUCAGCUUUGGGGCUCAGAUUCGGCAAGGGUUCAGCAGCGUUCUGUGUAAGGCGCUAGGAGAGGGUGGGUUUAGGGACUCUUGUUCUGGUACAUAUUGCUGUCUGCAACAAAGUGCUGCUUGGGUUGCAGAGGGGUGGGUGCCUGUAAAUGUGGUACACAUUUACACACAUUUCUACAAAAUGACUCUACCUUGUGGCACAUUGAAGAUAAUUGUGUAAGUAGUUAUCUCUGAAAACUAAUAUGCCACCUAAUGCUUUAACACCUGACUCUGCAGGGGUAGACGAUUGUUGGAUUUGUCCAGCCGUGGUCCUGGUUUCGUGUUCAGUGUCUGCACGUCCUGCCAUCAUCACUGCCACACUUACUGUUGACAGCUGUCCCUGCUGCAUGCUCUUAGCCAGCUCCAUCCUGUGCUCUCAGCUGAUAUUUCACAGGCUGGGCCUGGUGUGCUUUGGUGACUCAGUUUACUGUUUCAGGAUGCACCUCUCUCUGACUGUACGGAAACUAUCGAAGGGCUCGAGCUUACAGAGCAGACCUUUAGUCCCGCUAAAUCUCUCUCUUUUAGAAAGGGAGAGCUGGUGACGGCCUCCAAGGCCAUCAUUGAGAAGGAGUACCAGCCCCACGUCAUUGUGAGCACCACGGGCCCCAACCCCUUCACCACACUCACAGACCGUGAGCUGGAGGAGUACCGCAGGGAGGUGGAGAGGAAGCAGAAGGGCUCUGAAGAGAAUCUGGACGAGGCUAGAGAACAGAAAGAAAAGAGUCCUCCAGACCAGCCUGCGGUCCCCUACCCGCCUCCCAGCACUCCCAUCAAGCUGGAGGAAGGAGACGGAUGCGCUAGAGAGUACCUGUUACCCUAACCUUGUGCCGGAGCCAACUACUGGAGAUGACAGUGAUGCCGCCACCUUUAAGCCAACUCUUCCCGAUCUGUCCCCUGAUGAACCUUCAGAAGCACUCGGCUUCCCAAUGUUAGAGAAGGAGGAGGAAGCCCAUAGACCCCCAAGCCCCACUGAGGCCCCUACUGAGGCCAGCCCCGAACCAGCCCCAGACCCAGCCCCGGUGGCUGAAGAGGCUGCCCCCUCAGCUGCCGAGGAGGGGGCCGCCGCGGACCCUGGCAGCGAUGGGUCUCCAGGCAAGUCCCCAUCCAAAAAGAAGAAGAAGUUCCGUACCCCGUCCUUUUUGAAGAAGAGCAAGAAGAAGAGUGAGUCCUGAAGGCCCUGCGCUAACACUGUCCUGUCCGGAGCGACCCUGGCUCUGCCAGUGUCCCCGGCCACGUCUGUGCCCUGUCCUAGUGUAAUGGAAUGCAAAAAAGCCAAGCCCUCCACCUAGAGGUCCCCUCACGUGACCAGCCCCGUGUAGCCCCGGGCUGACCCAGUGCGUGCUCAGCAGCCCCACCCCACCCUGCCCCUUGUCCUCUCAGAGCCUCAGCUUCUGGGGGAGACAUGCUCUCCCCACAGGUGGGAGGCACUAAGUCAUGGUCCUGGCUGGAAGGUACUGAAGGCUUCUGCAGCUUUGGCUGCACGUCACCCUCCUGAGCCUUGACCUUUCCUGCCGUCCCUCCUGUUGUGAAAUCGCCAUGUUCUGUCCCUGCUUGGCUUCCCCUCUACCCUAAAGUCUCAGGUGACGGACUCAGACUCCUGGCUUCACGUGGCGUUCUCUCUGCUCAGUGAUCUCACUUAAAUCUAUAUACAAAGCCUUGGUCCCGUGAAAACACUCGUGUGCCCACCAGCGGCCUUGAAGAGGCAGGUCUGGGCCAGAUGCUGGUCAGGAAACCCCAGCGACAGAUGGGCCUGUGUGCACCCAACGCGAUGCUAUGCAUGUCUGACCGACGAUCCCUCGACCAGAAUCAGAUUCAGGAGCUCAGUUUCUUUUUCACUUGGGUCUCUGGAUUCCUGUCAUAGGGAAGGUGUAUCAGGAGGGGAAGAGUCCUUUCUAGAAUUUUCUUUGAGCAGGUUUACAAUUUAGCUUACAUUUUUUGACUGUGAACGUGAAUAGGCUGCUUUUUGCUUUUUUCUUUCCAGACCCCACAGUAGAGCACUUUUCACUUAUUUGGGGGAGGUUUCAGGGGAUCUGUUCUCACCUUAACUCAGCCGGAAAGAUACCCUAGUUGUGAUAAAAGGUAACUCGAGGUGGAGGGUAGCCCUGGGGCCCCUCGACAUCGCCGUCAUUGAUGGAGCCUGAGACAUGUGCUCCGUGGCAGAUACUGUUGUUUUUACUUCCCUGCGAGGCUGGAAAAGGGCUCAGAGCUGCUGAGCAGGAACUGGAGGGUGAUGCAUUUCAGGAGCUGCCGGUACCAGCCUGACUAGGUGCAGGCAAGCUUGUGUGGGCCCAACAGGCCCCUGGUAGAGCUGGUGCCAGAUGUGGGCUCAGAUCCUGGGCACGAUGGGCCGAGCCACCUCAGAUCCCACUGAUUGGCCGGCAGAGCGAGAACCAGGCUGCUGCAUGGCACUGACUGCUGCUUCCAGCUUCCUCUGAGCCGCAGGGCCUGCUACGCGGGCGAGCGUGCUGCCUCUUUGUCGUUUUGUUGCCAAGGCAGAAUGAAAAGUCCUUAACCGCGGACUCUUCCUUUAUCCCCUUUUAUCCCUUCCUUUACCCCACAUAUGCAAUGACUUUUAAUUUUCACUUUUGUAGUUUAAUCCUUUGUAUUACAACAUGAAAUAUAGUUGCAUAUAUGGACACCGACUUGGGAGGACAGGUCCUGAAUGUCCUUUCUCCAGUGUAACAUGUUUUACUCACAAAUAAAAUUCUUUCAGCAAUUUCCUUGUCUAAA
rnacentral:sRNA from 1 species